UAGUGGCAGACGGGUGAGUAAUAUAUAGGAAUCUACCUAGUAGUACGGAAUAAUUGUUGGAAACGGCAACUAAUACCGUAUACGCCCUACGGGGGAAAAAUUUAUUGCUAUUAGAUGAGCCUAUAUUAGAUUAGCUAGUUGGUGGGGUAAUAGCCUACCAAGGCAAUGAUCUAUAGCUGAUCUGAGAGGAUGAUCAGUCACACUGGAACUGAGAUACGGUCCAGACUCCUACGGGAGGCAGCAGUGGGGAAUAUUGGACAAUGGGCGAAAGCCUGAUCCAGCCAUGCCGCAUGAGUGAAGAAGGCCUUUGGGUUGUAAAGCUCUUUUAGUGAGGAAGAUAAUGACGGUACUCACAGAAGAAGUCCUGGCUAACUCCGCGCCAGCAGCCGCGGUAAUACGGAGAGGGCUAGCGUUAUUCGGAAUUAUUGGGCGUAAAGGGCGCGUAGGCUGGUUAGUAAGUUAAAAGUGAAAUCCCGAGGCUUAACCUUGGAACUGCUUUUAAAACUGCUAACCUAGAGAUUGAAAGAGGAUAGAGGAAUUCCUAGUGUAGAGGUGAAAUUCGUAAAUAUUAGGAGGAACACCAGUGGCGAAGGCGUCUAUCUGGUUCAAAUCUGACGCUGAGGCGCGAAGGCGUGGGGAGCAAACAGGAUUAGAUACCCUGGUAGUCCACGCUGUAAACGAUGAAUGUUAAAUAUGGGAAGUUUACUUUCUGUAUUACAGCUAACGCGUUAAACAUUCCGCCUGGGGACUACGGUCGCAAGAUUAAAACUCAAAGGAAUUGACGGGGACCCGCACAAGCGGUGGAGCAUGUGGUUUAAUUCGAUGCAACGCGAAAAACCUUACCACUCCUUG
rnacentral:rRNA from 1 species